CACAAGUUCCACUAUGAACUUACUAAUACUUAAAAACAUGUGGAUAAAUAUGUGUGUAUGCAUAUGUACAUAUAUGUUCAUACAAUCGAGUUUACUAGUCAAGCAACGGAUCUCAUAUCGUAGUCAGAAACAUAAACAGGAUAUCUGUACAUACGAAAAUGUAUGUAUGUACAUAUGUAUGUAUGUUUGUAUGCAUGAUAUCCAGGUGCCGAAACAUGUUUAAUGAAGGGAUUUCCUCCCGUCUAUUACAUUUGUAUGGAUGGGAUAUACUUAAGAACGUCCGUCUUUGCAUUCGGCUUUAGAAAAUUCUAUUAUUAUUUGUUAUCACGGAACAUCCAUACAUACAUACAUAUGUACGUAAUCUGAAACUACUUUUAGAUAACCCAGAGUAUCUUAGCGCCUCAAUAAUUUGUUACGGUUUUCAUAUCCAUAAAUCCUUUUAGUCUAUGUAAAGAACAAUCAGAAUUAUGUAUAUUUAAGACUUACAUUUUAAGUUUUCGCUUCGUUUUGGACAUAUGUCCAUACAGUGUGCAGACUAAAGUAUAGUGGUAUAGUAUGGUGUUUAUGUAGGUAAGAGAAAAAGGGAAGCGUCGAUUGUGUAUAAAGUUUAUAAAUACUUAUGUACAUAUGUAUAUAAUAAAUCAGCAACGAUUUGUUCCGUUUAAAA